UGAGGAAUAUUGGGCAAUGGACGAAAGUCUGACCCAGCCAUGCCGCGUGCAGGAUGAAUGCCCUAUGGGUUGUAAACUGCUUUUGUACAGGAAGAAACCUCCGGACGUGUCCGGGGUUGACGGUACUGUGCGAAUAAGCAUCGGCUAACUCCGUGCCAGCAGCCGCGGUAAUACGGAGGAUGCAAGCGUUAUCCGGAUUUAUUGGGUUUAAAGGGUGCGUAGGCGGAAAAUUAAGUCAGUAAUGAAAUCCUACAGCUUAACUGUAGAAUUGUUAUUGAUACUGGUUUUCUUGAAUACAGUUGAGGCAGGCGGAAUGUGUAAUGUAGCGGUGAAAUGCUUAGAUAUUACACAGAACACCGAUUGCGAAGGCAGCUUGCUAAACUGCAAUUGACGCUGAGGCACGAAAGCGUGGGGAUCAAACAG
rnacentral:rRNA from 1 species